GAUGAAGAACGUAGCGAAAUGCGAUAAGUAAUGUGAAUUGCAGAAUUCAGUGAAUCAUCGAAUCUUUGAGCGCACAUUGCGCCCGCUAGUAUUCUGGCGGGCAUGCCUGUCCGAGCGUCAUUUCAACCCUCAAGCCCCCGGGCUUGGUGUUGGGGAUCGGCGAGCCUCCGCGCCCGCCGUCCCCUAAAUCUAGUGGCGGUCUCGCUGUAGCUUCCUCUGCGUAGUAGCACACCUCGCACUGGGAAACAGCGCGGCCACGCCGUUAAACCCCCAACUUCUGAACGUUUGACCUCGGAUCAGGUAGGAAUACCCGCUGAACUUAAGCAUAUCAAUAAGCGGAGGA
rnacentral:misc_RNA from 1 species